GAUGAACGCUGGCGGCGUGCCUAAUACAUGCCAGUCGAGCGAACAGACGAGGAGCUUGCUCCUCUGACGUUAGCGGCGGACGGGUGAGUAACACGUGGAUAACCUACCUAUAAGACUGGGAUAACUUCGGGAAACCGGAGCUAAUACCGGAUAAUAUAUUGAACCGCAUGGUUCAAUAGUGAAAGACGGUUUUGCUGUCACUUAUAGAUGGAUCCGCGCCGCAUUAGCUAGUUGGUAAGGUAACGGCUUACCAAGGCAACGAUGCGUAGCCGACCUGAGAGGGUGAUCGGCCACACUGGAACUGAGACAAGGUCCAGACUCCUACGGGAGGCAGCAGUAGGGAAUCUUCCGCAAUGGGCGAAAGCCUGACGGAGCAACGCCGCGUGAGUGAUGAAGGUCUUCGGAUCGUAAAACUCUGUUAUUAGGGAAGAACAAAUGUGUAAGUAACUAUGCACGUCUUGACGGUACCUAAUCAGAAAGCCACGGCUAACUACGUG
rnacentral:rRNA from 1 species